CUGCAGUUGAUGAAUGGAGACGAUCCAAGAAGAAAACAACCGUAUCAGAUAAGGAAACAAAUCAAAGCUUCCAACAUCAUCAAGCCCUGACUUGGCUUCAUACCCAGUGUUAGAUCCUGGCGAUACAGGGAGUCAAGCUCAGCAGGCAUCCUCUGGAGUGGAUAGAGCCCUGGGUCUCUGCUGCAAGUUAGCAUGUGAGUAUAAAAUCCAAGAUGAUUCUAUUUGUAACAAUUCUUUCACCAAAUCCCAAAUAACUCUUAGAAACCACCCAGAAAUCCAUCCUUGCAGCAACAUUUCCUUUGUCUCAGAACAAUCUCAGGGAUGGGAGUCAGGGCAGGGGCCAGGAAGAGAGUAUUGUCUUCCUUUUGCUCUUUUUUUCCUGGAUGUAAAUAGAAAGGUGCAC
ensembl:lncRNA